rnacentral:lncRNA from 1 species
CCCAAACCACCUGUUACUCACCUCUUCUCCACUGGAACACCACCUCAAAACCCCACCGGAAAGCAACACUCCAACAGCAGCUCAACCCACACCAAACAGCCGCCCAACCUUCAUUUCCGAACAGUCAACAAACCUCCGACGGAGCAACAACAACCGAAAACAACCACACAAAACCUCCAAACCGUCAUAGGAGCUUCAAGCUCCACAAACACCACUAGAAAUCAUCCAGACCCACCCUCUCCUUAUUUCCUUUUUCCGGCGAAGCCAUCCAGAAACCCCCCACCAACAAUAACCCACAAGCAGCUCCAAACAAAUUCAGAAACAGCAGCAAAACGAACUCCAAUCCCUAUCUCCCUCUUCUCCAUAUUUUCCGACGAAACCUUGCCGGAACACCAGUGAAAGCGACCUCCAUAUAUUUCCUUUGUUUUCUCAUUUUUCUAGUGAGAAACAACCAAGCUCAACCACGAAGCUCCAUGUCCAAAUCGCUACCCGACCCACUUCCUUUUCGUCCUCCAUUCCCAACCAAAACCUCACCGGAAAAUCGCCUAAACAGCCACCAAAUGCCGCCAGUCCCAUUCCCCUUCCCCUUUCACGUUUUCUCCUUCUUUUUUACUGGUGCUUUGGCUCGAUGGUGAACGACAACCAGUUCUCGAGCUCCCAGACCAGCAAAUCAACAAAUAACAACAACAACACAUCCAUUUCCUGCCAACUCCAUGAACUCCAGCGAAGCUUCAACACUUUAACAAAUAAGAAAACUCCUCCGGUGGUUAGUUUCUUUCUUUAGUUUAGUUUUAUUUUAAUUAUUGAUUGAUACUCAUAUAUGUUAUAAUCUUAAAUCUAAUUAUUGUAAUCACUUUGGAUUUUGGUUUGCUGAUACAUUUAUUUUGGGGUUAAUUGUAGUGAUUAUUAUUAGUUGUCCGAUGACCUUUGUUAAUGCUUUAUUGUUGAUUUAAUGAUUAUUUUUUGCAUUAGUUGCUAAAUUUUAGUAAUUAUUUUGAUAGAAAACUUUAUUCUAGUGAGUUUUACAUUGUUUUGCUGAUGAUUUAUUUUAUUUACUUUACAUUGUCUCUUUCGCUAGAAAAAAGAAACAAUAAAUUAUUUACUAUUAUUGCUAUUGGGUUGUUUGCCAUUGUUUUAUUUGUUACACUUUUUGGUUUGUUUUAACUUGUUCUUUGUUGACAUCCAAUUUUGGCCCUCCACAAUUUAAUUAAUUUUCAAGAUUCUUAAGCUUCAGGCAAUUUGAAGUUAUUAUUUUAAAAAAAUAAAAAAUACUUUAGAAAUCAUUUUUUCAAGACAAUUUUCCUUUUUCCUAUAAAAUAUAUCUCUAUAUACUUAAAAUAUAUAGAUUUAUAUAAUUUUCAUUUUUUGAAUAAAUAUUUAGAAAAUAGUUUUACUAAAAAAUAAAGUUUUAAUUAAGUAUGCAUCCUAUCUCCUUUAAAAGUGAUAGCAAAUUAAUUAAAAUCUUUUCGAAAUAAUUAUUUUGUGUUGUUAAAGUUAAGAUGCUUAGGUAAUUAGUUGAGUUUAUAAUUUGUCUCGUUUCCAUUUUAUCAAAUUUAAAUUAAUUGAAGUCAAAUUGAAUUUUUAUAAAAAUGAAGCAUGGACCAGAUUCCUUCAUCCCUUUUAAUUUCCUACAAGUUUAAGCCCAAUUUAAAUCAAUAACCCGACCCACUUCAUUUCCUAAUACCCAGUACUCUGUACUCUUCUCCCUCACAUACGCACAUAGCACAGCAAACCAAGAACGAGCCUUAAUUCCCCAAAUUUCCAAUUUUCGCAGCCUCAAUUUACUCUUCUCUCCCUAGAAUUCGUACAUCGUUGUGUGCAAGGCACGAGCCUUGGUACUAUUUGAAGCUUCCAGGAAGGUUCACCAACGGUAUUAUCCCUCAAAUUCCCUUUUUCUUUUCCGAUUUCUUUCAAAAUGGUACGAAUUCGUACACUAGCUAGUUCGCAAUCCUUAUAUGUUAAGGGAUUUUGAAAAUUCUCAAAAUCCCACAUCGAACAUUUUCUCAGAAUUUGGAGAUUUUGGUACUAUAUAAACCCACCCCUUUCACUGUUCACUGGACGGUUUAUGGGAGCUGAAGAAUUGAGAGCACCCCCGGAAAGGUUUUGGGAGCUCUUAGUUCGUAGUUUAAGAUUUUAUCUGCUCUCGAUUGUCCCAGUCACAUUUUGGUGGUAAAGUUCAUUGCCUCCAAAGCUCGAGCUCCAGUCGUUGCCCAGAACUAGGUAACCUUCGUGUCAUCUUAUUAUUUUCGCCUAAUUUCUGUUAUGUAGAAUUUUGUUCGGUCAUUAGUUGCUUUAGUUUAGAAAUUAUUUUCCUUUUCUUGUAUUCUUCAGUUUAAUUACGUCCCCCAGUAGCUUAAAUUUGAUGGUUUCUUUUUGCUUUGAUUAGUAGUAUGAAUAUCUAGAGUUUUGUUCUUUCUUUGGUCAUCGUUAAUCUUCGUAUGGUCCUUUGAAUAUUGAAACUUUUCAUUCUAUUUGGUUCAUCUUCUUACUGCCCAUCAGAUUGUGUUCAUAAAACUUUUUAAGCUUUCUCCUAAUAUGUGUAUGACCCUCUUAGCUAGUUAUCCUCUUCCGUUCAUAGUUUGUUUAAGUUCCCCUUUCCUAUGUGUUUGAGUUUCAACUGUUGUCGGCCCGCCGUGGUCCAAAAUUGUUCAUGUUUGGUAUGUUCUUGAGCUUAGUCGUCUAGAUGUUCUUAAUCGU